CUCCUUGGAAUUCUUAUUUUUUGUGGGAAAAGAAAUAGAUACGUUUCUUCAACAUUUAAGUUUCUAAAUGAAAGCGUUGAAAAUAAGACGAUAGAUGGGGAAAGCCGGCCACUAUUAUGAUAUUGGUGUCGCAACAAGAUCUUUAAAAACUUCCCAUUUAUCAACCCGGCAUGAAACAGAGGCAUAAGCCCACCUUUUCAAAUGAACAAGCAAUUGCGCCCGUUGCUGAUCACUGCUGGAUUAAGCGUUUUGGAUAAGUAGCAGUUGUUGCGGUAUGUGUACGUGGACCGCCACUAAAAGCCGUUCUAUAAAUUUAUUGAUAUCAGAUGAAACAUUUAAGAAAGAUUUAUGAAAGAUAAACAUAGGCAACCAGGAGUUUCCUUCAUCAAUUUAUAUUGUGACAUGAACUUAAAACUAUUCCACAACCAGACGUUUCUCGUUGCAUAAUCCAACUUCUUAUAAUAUCAUAACCGAAAAUGUAUAUUUUGUAAGAAAUUAAGCAGAAGAAAAACUGGUGCUGAUUCCGGAUCAAGAUUAAAAAUCGUAACCUUUUAUAAUGUGGAAUAAACAGCGUCUUCGUCACGCGAAGUAUGAAAAAUUAAGAUGAUUGUUGAAAAUAUUGGGAUGAAAAGUAAAUGUCGGCAAAUCCAGCUUCAUUCACGACUUUGUUUGGUCGUAUUGAAACAACAUUUCGUGAUACGACUUUGUUGGGCAUGUGUAAGUGGACUUCUUAAGCAGACAUGUUUCUAGACGAACGGACACUUGAACCAGCUACUCCUCGUUAAUGUGCUGAGCGCCAUCGAAAAAUAGUGAUGGGAGCUUUUGUGGUCAGCGAUCUUCGAAAACGUUCGGCGGUCCGCAGCUGCACUUAUUGGCACAUCGUGUUGCAAAUGGCAACACUACAAUUGAAAUUGACGAUUUUUUGUUCAAAGUUAAUCGAAAUAUGGCUGUGUAACUUCUCCUUCCAACUUUCAGUUUUUUGGGGACAUUCCAAAAGUGUUUUUGCCGAUGCGUUCUUAUUACAAAUUGUUACGCGAAUAUUGCCAGUAAAGUAGAAUUGUUAAAUAAAAAUUAUUUCAAGUAAAUAUAUCAAUAAGUUACUCACUUUUCCAUUGUCAUUUUUUUUUCUUCGUUACCCAUCUCAUCCUUCUAGAUUUGGAUUUCUUCCUUCUAGAAGACCUAUUCGGCUUGGUACGACGCUUUUUAUUCCUUUCCAUUUUUAUUAUUUCAUCUGGAAAGGAGUAAGCAUUUAUUAAUAGAAAUUGUAAUAAAUAAGUGAGUAAAGCAUAUCUAAUGAUUACUAAACGAUAACACCGAAUCCAAAAUCUCACUAUUUAACUUAUAAUUGAAGGUGAUGAAAGACCCUCUAUUGAAAGACAUUUGGCUUUUUAAUAUUCAACCUUCAAAAUUGUGUGAGGAGUAGAAUACAUACAUUAAUAUAUUCGCUUGUUGAAUUAUGUCAGGCAAACCAUUUAAAAAUAAACAAAAGAAAAGCGGGACAAGGUGGAUCCUCUGCGGAUAUCACCGGUGUACACGCAGAAAUAUUUAAUAAAACCAUUUAAAUAAAAUUCUGUAUAUCUGAUCCAUAGGAUAUAAAAUGAACCAUUUUAUAUGGCCAGGCGUAUAACCAAUCUUUAUUGACUUAAAAAAUAUUAAUAAAAAAAAAAAAUUAAAAAAAUUAUUUAUGUUUAAAAAAAAUGUCCGAUGAUUUAUUUUUUAUGACCGAGUUGCAGGAAUUGUCAGUUUGCCCGAGAUUCUAUGUUUCUUUCGACACAAAUCGGAAGAUUUCUGCGUGUAAUCUUUCCACCUUUCCAUUUGCCUUGCGCCCUUGUGCGGGCGUAAAAUAAAUCCUAAUUCCAAGCGAUCUUAAAAAAUUUAAAAUGGUUGGCGUUAAAAAUGUCCGCUCAGUGUUCGACAUAAUCAUGCCGGUAAGCUUACUUCUUCUGCGAAUUGCACAUCGAUUCCUUAUUUCAACUAUCUUCGCGAAUUUAGAAAAUUUGUCAAUCCAACUUAUAAAUUUCAAGCCCUGAAUCUCGCAAAUGUGUGUAGGAUUUCUCUAGGCGUAGGAUUUCACAGGAAUAUGCGUAGUUGCUUGUCAGUGAUGUAUAUUAGUGUUAUCGGAAUGAAUACUUGUUCUACUUUUUUUUUAACUUAAGAAUAAAAUUGUUGCGUAUGAUCUGUUGGUUUGGCUGCUGCUGAACACGUGAAGAGACGAUCGCCGUUUGUGCACUGCUUUUAUAGCUGUUGGCUGCCACGCCAUCACGUUGAUACCGAGAGCUUUCACCGCGAGGUUUGUUGACUUACUAUACCAUUUGCAUGCUAAAGCUUAGGGAGUAGCUUCAGGAAGGCUGCAAAAUGAGAUUAUGCAGGGUUGCGCUACAGUGUCAAUCAAAGAAACAUAUCGAGUAAACAAAACUAUUAACAGAGUACAGAAGUUCAAAUGUAGGAUUUAGCUCAAAUUUACAGUUUAAUAAAACAAUGUAAAGUUAUAUGCAGAUAAUGAUAUUAGAAUGUAAACAGCAAUGUCUUCUGUGUUUGCAGUGGCUCUUUCCUUACAUCCCUCCCUCACGUCGGAAAUGAAUAAACAUCUGCUGCACUCCAGAUCUGGCUCUCACGGUCUGAUACCGAAUAACAUUUCGUGGGGCAAAAGCUCAUCUACGUUUGCCUGUGCUUGGAAAUUUGGUUGCCAUCCGGGAUCAUUAUAUCUUGGUGGAAAAAGUUUUGCGCUAUCGGUAGGCAACUAUUCUUCGGCAGUUUUGCCUGGUUUAUCCAAAUUCAACGGGUUCACGGAGCAAAGGCAUACACUAUUUUCAUUUGGGGCUUGGCAUGAAGUACCUGUUGUUGACGGCCGCUGCUUUGUGUGGUUCAUAGAGGGCCGACAAUGGCAAUUGAUCGAACGUAACGAAAUCAUCGUUAGUUGUUUUGUGUGGCUCAAUCGAGCUCGGCGGUAUUAAGUGGACGUAUGUGAUAAUAUCGUCGGUGAUUAUUUUGUGAGGCUCAAUAGAACUCGGCGGUAUUAAUUUGCAAAUGUGAUAAUGUGAUGCGUGGAUGUUUUGUGAGCUCAAUAGAGCAUCGUAAGUAAUAAUGUCCUUCACCAAAAGUUGUGUCUAAGACCUUUUCCUUUGUGCGGGCUCAGACUCCAUUGCUGAUAUGUUCAUGGAGUGACAUUUAACUAUCCUCGCUGUUUGUUAGCGCAUCCAGUGGCCGGUGGCCGGUGUCCGCGAUAGACAAGUCUCCAGGGCGAGAUUUCAGUUUUGCAAUAUCACCUCGACAACUAUUUGCUUUGGCUAGAGUGGAAAUAUCCGAGCGAUCUUAGCAUUCUGAGAAGUACACCAUUUCUUUGGCAGAAGGAGAGAGAGGUUAUGCUAUCAUAUGAAGAUUACUACUGCGUAUGGAUCGAAUAUAAAAUAUACUUAUAGAUGUAGAUAAAAUAUGUAUGUUUUUUUUCAAAUCACUGGCAGCAAUCUUUUGAAUCUCUUGCUCUCUAAACGUUAUCGUACAACACAUUAUUAUUAAAUGUACGUCUAUAAUAGUAGGUAUGUAAUUGCUAAUCUCUUUACAUGGCUAGCAGAUGUAUUUAUAGAAAAUCAAUUGCAUAAGGCAGUUUAUUAUACUAUUAUGCAAUACGCUUCAUUUUGGAUGAGCGUGGAAAUUAAUUCUAUUUUUCCUUUACAGUUUCUUAUGUUGUAUAUUUUCAGCAUAUUGUCUUUUCGUCAAAUGAAAUUUUUACAAAUGAAAUUACAGUCUUAUUUUAUUGCAAUCUUUGAAUGUAUGACUUAACUUUUUAGCUAUUUUAAACCGUCCGCACACGUUUUAUUUUUUUGGUUUGCAAAAUCACUUUUUCCUUCUUCUCUCUCCACAAAAAAAUCUUCCCAAUGUCGAUUACGUUUUUAAUGGGUGAGACUAACAAUCCCCCUGUGGCUGCAAGCUUGACAUCCGGUGUGGUCAACUGUUAGCGUUGUGCGGGGCAUAUAUUUGUCUUCUAGUGUCUCGAGACGUUCAAUUGUCUCUUUGUUGUGUAAAGCCUGCUACUAUUUCAAACACCUUUCACAUCUUCUCUAUCGUUUUUAAGUUCUUCAGGCCGAGUUCUCCACAAACAGCAGUGAGCUCUUACUUCUUGAGAUUGUAGAUCCAAGAGGUACGCGCCAUGUUUUUUUUGUUUGUUUUUUUUUUCUCUUCACGUAUUAUCUGAAGUUCCUUGAUCGGGCGCCAUCUGUAACAGAUAUCUCUGGCUGCCAACUGCAUCAUGGCUACCCAGCUGUGCGCUUCAAGAAAUUUUCUUAUUAAAACAAAAAGAACUCUUUUGUUAUCGUUAUAGUAUGUAGUUUUGUGUAUUAGAUUGGAUGUAGCAAGACUAUCGCUAGGCCUAUUGUUAUUACCGCAGGCUCACUGAGCAGUUUACAAAACACAAUUUACGUAGUUAUGUAGUAGCGAAGAUAAAUUUAAUUAGGAGAAAAAGGGAAGUUCUAGUGUAUAACGUCAACUGCGCGUAGCCGAAGUUGAUUUUUCAUGAAUAAAUUGUCGCGUAUGAUCUGCAAGAAAUAUUUUACUGGCUCAGCAGGCGAGGUUGAUCAUUAAAGGGGUAGAGUUCCUAGCAUGUUCUUUCGGACCGGUAGUCUAUAAGGUAAUUCAAACGUACGCUGCUACUUGCGAAAACCAUUCUGGACGGACACAGCAACGGACCACUGAUCACUGAUGCGCCGUCUGUUACCGUGAGAACCCCGUUUCCGACGGACAAUACCCAACUGCUAAUCAGUAGUUAGCUUUGGGCCUAUGAUAUCCUCUCCAGCAGAGAAUCGAUAAGGCAAUGAUGCAAGUGCACGUUCUUACCUUAAGUAGCUCGUUCCGGACGGACAGGGCAACGAACUACUACAUAAAUGUAUAUGUUAAAAGUUCUUAAUUUACCUGUAGGUUUGGCUGCUGUUGAACAUAUGAAAGCUGAUGGCGGUUGGCUUCCACACCAGCACGUUGGUGGUGGGAGCUUUCACCAGGGCGCUUACUUAAUGACUAAAGAGUAAUAUCCCUCUGCAUACUAAUGCUUAAAGAGUAACUUCUUAAUAUGGUGGAAAUGAAAGUUUACCUUAUAGCUUGGACUAUAGUUUACGAGCUAUCCUAAAGUGUAAAACUCGUGGGAGUAAAGACGAC